UGUUUUGAAAAUUUUGCUGAAAUUUGCAACAUUUUCUGAGUGAAAGUUUUGAGUGGAAGACUUACGGAGUUUUGUCGAGUUUCCAUGAAUCAGUUUGGAAGUUACCUGGCGCAAAUAUCAGUGUCAACUCCUAAGCAUAACAAAGUUGGACCAUCAAAAUCUAAUAAUGCACUCUUCGUUAGCUCUAACAGAGCCAAGGCUAAGGACCCAGACCCUGCUGAUAGCGAUAACAAUGAUGAGAACCAGGAUCCGGGGCAGACGCAUCUCGUGUCCGUCUGUUCUCCAAGAAAGGGUCGUCCAGUCGACUCGAACUAGACGAGUCAUACUCUAGAAGUUCUCGAAGUCGAUGGAAUGAAACUGCCGAGGUGAUGGACUUCGAUGAACUUCCUCUGUUUAGAGCAACACCUCCAUCGGAUGAUGAAACAAACGCCACUGCUGUGACUUUGGAUUAUUUUGUCCGCAGAACAACUCUCGAAUUCCCAGCCAUUCUGCCAUGGAAAAAUCGGAAAAUGCCGUUGAAGUUCGAGAAUCCAGCAGACGUUGAGCAGACCGUCGAGUUUAAAAAAUGUCCGAACAAGAAAGGGUUUUCUCUUUUGAGAGUUUUUAACAGCGAUGUCGUUAAAAGCAAUUGUGUGAAAAGUGAGGAAUCCUAUAUUCUACGUGUUCCUGCCGGGAUGUCAGUUGUACAGUAUUUACAAUUUACACCACCACCUGAGUCUGCUAAAACUGAAGUUGUGAAAAGCUACGGCGAUGUGUGGUAUUUCUAUGUGAGCGCAAGUUACUGGGUCAAGUUGGUUCUUGUGGCGAAAAUCUUGCCGGUUCCGAAGAAGC